rnacentral:snoRNA from 1 species
GUACCAGCUUCUUACAGUGCUUGUGAGACAAGAUGAAUUGGUUUGAGGCCUUGCCCUGCUCUAUCCAAAGCAAGGUUAUAGAAAUCUCAGACAAUU